GUUAAAGUAGUUUAAAAAGAACAUUGGUCUUGUAAACCAAAAAUGGGAGAUAAUUCCCCUUUAACA
rnacentral:tRNA from 1 species